UCACUACCCACUCACACUUUCCACUCUCCCCACUCACACUUCACACGAUACUUUGCCCCCCACCAAAAUAAACUUUAGCCAUAAUACCCAUUCCCUUCCACUCACCAUUUCUCCUACAUACCAAGGAACUAAGUGCAGAGCUACACCCACAGAAGUUCAGCUAUACCACACGGACAUCCCUAUCACUUCACUCAUUCUGAAAAUUUUCAUUUGCUCACCAAGAUCAUUUCGACAGAAUCCAGCACACAACAAACAAACAGGAUCAACACUCACUGAAAUUUCUCACAAGGCUUUGAGCAUCAGGAGGAUUAGCACUGCUUUUCCAAUUCAGAGAUAAGAUUAAACGACAGGCUUUGCCUAUACAGGUGGGCUUAUUUUUCAAAUGUAUGAUUUAGCUAUUGAGCUUAAAUAUUCGUGAAAUAUAAACUGUUUAUCCAAUAAAAUAUUUUUGUGCACUCUACCAUGUUUAAGGCUCGUACAGUUAAUCAAUUGAGGUUCUCUUAUAACCUAAAACGUUAUUUGAGAAUUGUGUACACUUGUUAGCUGACUCGGUGGGUUGAUCUCCAUCGGGCACUAACCAGAGGCGUUAUAAGGGUGCUCGACGGGAUGUGUUCCGGAGCAUAGAAAUGAUAGGCCUGUCUGGAUUAAUUUCCGAGGUUUAUUAUACUUGGCUGGGUUACGCCCUCAGUUCAAGUCAGCGGGAGACAGAGAUCCGUCGGUGGCUAGAGGUCCGGGAUCACAGCGAGUAACAGAAUGGAGUGUGCAAACGCGCGCAAAAUAAUUAAGUAUAUAUAUAUGAAAAUGUUUUAACAUGCAUAGAAGUUAUUUCUCUUUAAAACCUUUUAUGUCAUGUCAGUAAGAUUGGAUAAACUGUUCUUCAGAUUAUGAAAUGCUUUAAAAGUUGCAGCCCACUAAGUACAUUAGUACUUAGCCCAAAAUUACUUUCAAAUGUUUUCAGGUUAAUGGCUGGUGAUGACGGGGCAGAGCUGAGGCUAGGGUUCAACUCCGUAUUUUGUCUUCCGCUAUUGCACUAGCUUUUAUUUGUCUUUUGUUUCUCCAACUUAAGACUUUUAUGUUAAAUUCUGAAUUAUGUUUUUAUCGAGCUUAAACUCUCAACUUCUAGCUCUAUGUUAUUUAACAUUGGUUAUCGGAAGCA